UUGUGUUCUAAAUGGCAACAAUACCAUAUAUGGAUUUUCUGAGUUAUAUACUUAUGUUCUUGUUAAUAUUCAUUGUUACACAAGUUUUUUACUCAUUAUUUGCAACCAAAAUGAGAAACAAAACUAACUCAAAACUUCCACCAGGACCUUUCCCUCUUCCCAUAGUUGGAAACCUCUUUGUAAUGAACAACAAACCACAUAAAUCAUUAGCCAAACUUGCCAAAAUUUAUGGUCCAAUAUUAACUUUAAAGCUAGGUCAAGUAACAACCAUAGUUAUCUCUUCGCCCGACAUGGCCAAAGAGAUACUCCAAACACAUGAUUCUUUACUUUCAGACCGAACUGUACCACAUGCUUUAACCGCUUUCAACCACGACCAAUUUGGCGUGGGAUUCCUUUCUCUUUCGCCUCUUUGGCGAGAGAUGCGAAGGGUAUGCAAAAAUCAACUAUUCUCUAAUAAGAGUCUUGAUGCAAGCCAAUAUCUCAGGCGUGGGAAGAUAGAUGAACUCAUCAAUUAUGUUUCUCAAUGCAGCCUAAAGGGUGAAGCAAUAGAUAUGGGAAAAUUAGCUUUUAAGACUUCAAUUAAUUUGUUGUCUAAUACUGUUUUCUCUGUAGACUUUGCUAAUAACAAGGAUUUGGUUAUGGAUAUGUCGGAGACGGUUGGAUCUCCAAACAUGGCUGAUUUUUUUCCAUUGUUGAGGUUGAUUGAUCCACAAGGCAUCAAAAGGACCUAUGUGUUUUAUGUAGGAAAGUUGUUUGGUAUCUUUGACAACAUAAUCGAUCAAAAGUUGAAAUUGCGAGAAGGGGAUGGUUUUGUCACCAACAACGAUAUGUUAGACUCCUUGCUCGCUGAAGAAAACAAAAAGGAGUUGGACAGAGAAAAAAUUCAACAUUUACUACAUGUAUUUUCUAAUCUUACUAUUUACAAUUAUGAUGUUUGAUAUCUAUUUUUUUUCCACUUUAUCCGCAUCUCUCUCAAUGGACUUGGAUCCUCUCCGGUCCCUUCCUUUCUCUCAGGCUACUCGACGGUUGCAAUUUUAUUGGAGAGACAGGAGGGACAAUAAAGGAUCUAAAAACCUAUAUGUGUGUAUGUGCGCACAUGCGCAUAUCAUAUGUCAUGUUUUAAAUUUUAAUAAUGUUUUAAUAAAUUAUACCAUGAAUACUUUUCUAGAUUUUAUUCACUAUAAAACUUGCAAUCUAAUGGUUGGUUUAUAAUAACAGGAUCUACUUGUUGGAGGAACUGAUACAACUACAUAUACAUUAGAAUGGGCAAUGGCUGAACUACUUCACAACCCAAAUGUAAUGUCAAAGGUUAAAAAAGAACUUGAAGAAACCAUUGGAAUAGGAAAUCCGAUUGAGGAAUCAGACGUUACUAGACUCCCUUACUUGCAAGCAAUAAUAAAGGAAACCUUACGCUUGCACCCGAUAGCUCCACUUUUGCUCCCUCGAAAAGCAAAGGAAGACGUAGAAGUCAAUGGCUACCUCAUUCCAAAAGGUGCACAAAUUUUCGUUAAUGUGUGGGCUAUUGGUAGAGAUCCAAAAGUAUGGGACAAUCCAAAUUUAUUUUCGCCAGAGAGGUUUUUAGGAACAAAGCUUGAUAUCAAGGGACAAAAUUUUCAGCUCACGCCGUUUGGCAGUGGAAGGCGAAUAUGUCCCGGCUUGCCUUUGGCUAUGAGGAUGUUGCACAUGAUGUUGGGAUCAUUACUAAUUUCUUUUGAUUGGAAGCUAGAAAAUGGUAUGAAACCUGAAGAAAUAGACAUGGAAGAUGCAAUACAAGGACUUGCCUUGAGAAAAUGUGAAUCCUUGAGAGUUAUUCCAACCAAAAUCAGUAAUUAAAUUCCCUACGUAGCAACUUGUAAUUCUUUUACGUGUAUUUCAAUAAAUGGCCUGUCAAGGAAAUUAGACAUAGCAGUGUGAGUAAACAUAGACAUGAUCAAUAAAUAAUAAUAAAAACUAGAUUCUGACCUGCGCGUUGAGCGGAUGUCUUGCAUUUUAUUGUAAGCAAAAUGAUUACAAUGUAUCGAUUCAUUUAAAAAUUGUAUGGUACAUGUGAUUUUUUUUAUAUAUAUAUUCAAAUGUAUGUAACGUGUAGAAGGAUAUUGAAAAAAAAAAUGCAAAUAAUGAAGAUGUGUUUUAGAAUAAAUCAGACAUGUAUCAUAAAUAAAUAAAUUUGUGAUUCCUCAAGAGAGGAAUAAAUUUAUAUAAAAAAAUUGUAUAUACUAAUAGCAUCUUAGAGUUGACCAAAUAUUCGGGUAUGCACCACCAUGUCAAACACUGUAAAAAAUGGCAAACAAAUGUGACAUUUAUCCGUUGUAGGUUACUUAUUUUUUGUUUGGAAUAACAGGAAUCUCGUGGUUCUCAUCUUGUGUAGCCGAAUACAUUGCAGCAUCAUUGAGUUCUUGUCAAGCUCUUUGGUUGAUGAAUUUAAUGGAAGAACUUAGUCAUGAGAAAUGUGACAUUGAUGAUUGAUAACAUGUAUGCCCAAAUGCAAUCAAUCUAGCCAAGAAUCCAAUUGCACAUGGGAGGGGCAUAUGCACAUUGAGAUGUCAAUGGGAAUUUAGAGACCAAAUGGGAAUUGAAUCAUUAGAAAACAUGAAUUAAGCUGGUGUGUUGGAAUUAGUAUGUGUACUGUCACCAAUUAUGCAAAAAUGUUGAAAAUAGAGUUUGUUGAAGAUUAAUUACAUAUAAAUAUAUAAAUAUAAUGGAAGCGGAUAAUAAGCUGCGCCGAUUGAUCUUUUUGGAUGGUAAAAUUAAUCCUCGUAAAUUAACUACUUUUCUUGUUCAAUUGAGUAGUUGAAUUAGAGAAUUGAUAAUUGAAUCACAAUCUUUGUGAAGCUUAUGAGAGAGUUAGAUGGUUGUAUCUUAAAGUUCUUAAGCAUAAAAAUGGAAUUUGACAAGAAUUGGAUGUCUAAUUGGAUCCGGAAAAAAAAAAAAUGUAAUUAUCUUUUAAUGUCUCAAAAAAAAAAAAAAAAAACCGAAAUAAUUCAGUAUAUAGUUGAACAUUGCCACAUCUUCAAUUUAGUUUAAGCAACUAGGAGUUAAAUUAUUCCAAUUCCUUUAAAAAAAAAUUGUUUUAACUUUUCUCAAAGGCUAUAAAUUGGGUUCCCCAUUUUUUUUCUCACGAGACAAUGGGUCUUUCACACUUUUAUUUUGUUAUAAUGAAGCACGUGUUAUUUUUAUAAAUGAAAAUUUACCUAUUAUCUACCAAUUAUAGAAAUUUGAACUUUAACUUAAGUUCAAUCAUACAUGUUAACUGCAAAUUGAUUGACAUAACACGAUGGCCAUUCCUACGGUUCUGUAAGUAAAAAGAGGUCCGUAAAAAAAUAAAAACGUAUUUUUUUUAAAAGAACAAUGUUCUAUUUAAAUUUUUUAUAAGAUAAAUACAAGAUGUGGUAUAUAUGCGAUACACCUAAAUGUGAAAAUCACUACCGUAUAUAUGAGGAACCUCAUACCACCCUCCCAAAAAAACAUCCACCUAACACCGAAUGCUAAGAGGUGUCAAUUCCAAUAGGCGUAAAACAAGACAACAAAGAGGAAAAGGAAAUCAAAUUGGGGAAGAAAAUGAAAGUGUGAUUGAGUGAUGAUCAUGGAACACGUGGCAUCAGAGAGAAAGAGAAGAAUAAUUUUUUUUAGUGGGGUAAUACUAUCCGGUUAUAAAAAAUUUAUGAGACCCAUAUCUUGGAGAGGCCCAGCUCCAUUGAGCUCUUUGCUCACCCCAAAGCCCGGCCUGCAUAACACAUGUUAACAUCACAUCUAUUUUUUUUAAUGAACUUAUUUACUCUAUUUAGAAGAAAAAUAGUCACAAAUAUUUAAAAUAAUACAAGACAUUGACAAAAUUAGUCUUUUCUUGAAUAUCAACUAAUGCAACACGCUGCAUGCAUUAUCACUGCAUAUUUGUGUGGUUGUGUAUGAAACUUUGAAAUUUGAAUAUCCACUAGUUAAGAAAGUCACACCCAUGCUAGUUUCUGACUAUACUAAUGAAAUUAACUCAUAUAAUUUUAUAUAUCUGUGCAUGUUCAAUGAUCUUCUGCAUGUAUUCGAUUAUGAUUGAUUUGUUAUCAAAGGAAGACCGUACGAAAUGGAAAUAAUGCAUUCGAGGUUUUAUUUCAAUAUUUUUCGAGCCAUGUAAAACAUCCAUUUUGGACUUUGAAUAUGAAUGCAAUCCUAUCCUAUACUCAUUCAAAAUUGAACGACGGUACAUAUAAUUCCUAUACGUACGUAUAAGAAAAUAUAUUGACUUUGGGCAAUCCUAUCUAGAGACUAUUAUAUAAUUUAAUUUAUUAGCAUGUACAAUGGAGACUAUUAUAUGCUUUAAUUUAGUCUGUAAAAGUUACAUCGUUUUUUAAACAACUUAUGUUAAAAAAAUUGAUGUGUCCCUUAUGUACACUAUGUAUGUAUGUUUAGCCCAAACUCAAUGAUUGGUAUACAUGAAGAAGAAAAAUAUGUGUUGAGUCCUUAAUUUGUUGUCAAACUUUUAAAGGAUUUAUAUGUAGUAACUAGAGUUUCAUGACAUGUAGAUCAGUCAUAGAACUUCAUGUUUGUACAAGUAAGAUAGGCUAAACACACCAUUCCUAUCAUGUAGUGUAAAUAAUAAAAAAUGUCAACUUUUUAUUUAUUUUAAAGAAUGUGUUUUAUAGGUUGACAUCAAGGAACUAAAUUGUUAAAAAAAAAAAAAAACUAAAAAUAUUAACUUGUUAUAAAUAUCUAAAAUAAUCGUGUGAUGUAUUUGACCUAAAUUCGUAAUAUAGUUUCUUGUCGUCGGUAGAUUGUCGGUCACGUCAUGUUUGACUUUUGGAUUGAGAACAAACAGUUUGUAUUUAAGAUGGGUAAUUUUCAUAUUUUAAAAAUAAAAAACUAGCAAAUUCUAAGGUACAUUCAAAAAUUUGAGUGUGCGAGUACACAAAAAAUAUAGUUAAUUUAUAAAUUUAUGAAGGAAAAGUACCGGUACACCUUAAUUUAUAAGGUGUACCGUAGAAGAUCCCAAAAAACUAUAUUGAAAUUUGACCCACACUAAUGUUGUGAUUGCAUUAAUAUUACAAAAUAUUUACAUCAGGCAAUCCAAUUUCAUACUAUUCAUAGUUGUUGAACUUAAAAAACUGUGCUUUUCAAUCCCAAUUUUUGCUGCAAGUUCAUUCAGUAAAUUUUAUUUGGCAAAAUUUUACAUAACCUUUUUUUUUACCUAAAUGUACAUGGUAAAAAAAAUCUGGGAGCUAAAGUUUUUGCCCGGCCCUGUGAUUUACUCAAAAUUGAUAUUUUCUGUUAGUAAACUCUUUGUAAGUCUCAUCUUAAAUUUACUAACAGGCUUCUCAUGAUCUAUGUUGUUUUUAAAAAUAAAACUGGAUCAUAACAUAACAUUGAAUUAUUCAAUGAUCAUUAACAAAUACAUGUGCAUAUAUGAUUUUAAUGAAUUAAAAAAUUACUAAUGUUUGACUCAGAUGCACUAUAAAUAGGACACUCUAGUGAACACAAAACAUCACAACAGAAGUUAUAACAAUCUUCUUCCAUAUACAUCCUUUUUUACUUGUGUUCUAAAUGGCAACAAUACCAUAUAUGAAUAUUCUGAGUUAUAUACUUAUCUUCUUGUUAAUAUUCAUUGUUACACAAGUUUUUUACUCAUUAUUUGCAACCAAAAUGAGAAACAAAACUAACUCAAAACUUCCACCAGGACCUUUCCCUCUUCCCAUAGUUGGAAACCUCUUUGUAAUGAACAACAAGCCACAUAAAUCAUUAGCCAAACUUGCCAAAAUUUAUGGUCCAAUAUUAAGUUUAAAACUAGGCCAAGUAACAACCAUAGUUGUCUCUUCGGCCGACUUGGCCAAAGAGAUACUCCAAACUCAUGAUUCC
rnacentral:lncRNA from 1 species